CAAAACCUUUCAAGGGCUUUCAUGUACUAUUUCAUCAUCAUCAUUAUCAUCACAUUUUCAAAAUCUAUGAUCCAGUAAUCGAUACUUUUCACUGUCUUUGAUUUCGAUUUCCAAUUUCAGUAGUUCGAACUUGGAACAGAGUCACUGCACAAAUUCCAAUUUGCUUACAUAAAUGUCAAAUUGCUUCGCAACUGAUAGUGAUUUUCCCUUAAUUGGGGAAGAACUUGUUCAAUUGGGAACACCAUUCAGAGAGCAUAGAAAAGAUAAGUAUGUUUUAGAAAGUUCUCAUUCUGAAAGCUCUCAAGUGCCAACUCAGAUACUAGAAGUAGAACAACAUGAAAAGUCACUGUCAAUGGCUCAUAUGGAAGAUAAGAAAUACAUCCAGAGGUUGGAAAAAGAGCUGCUAAAUUGUUCUCAAGAAAUAGAUUAUCUUCAGGAUCAACUCAGUGCAAGAAACACAGAGGUGACCUAUCUAGAAGAGCGUGUUUGCGAUCUUGAAAUGGAAUUCAAGGAGAAGGAAGAUUUACGAAAAGAAGUUUCCAGCUUAAAGGAGAAGCUGAAAAUAUGCAUCUCACAGCAGCUUUCCUUGGUUCAGGAACUUGAGACUAAAGAAGUGGAAUUAGAGCAGUCGGCUCUGACUAUGGAGGAAUCAUUUUCAUCCAUGGGAUUAGAGUCUCAGUUUGAAGUCGAGAGUAUGAAGCUUGAUAUGAUGACCUUGGAGCAGAGUUUAUUCGAAGGAAGGAAAGUCCAGGAAGAAACUCUAGAAGAAAAUAAUAGAAUGGGUAGAUUGAUCGACAAGUUACAGGAUGCACUGCAAGAUGCACAGAAAACCAUCAUCUCUCUGAAUGAAGAAAAUAAGGUAAUUAAAGAAAAGCUUGACACUGCCAACAUGAAUACUAGAUUAUUUUCCCAAAAGGUUAAAGACUGGCUGGAAAACAAGGACAGACCGCAAAUCAAGGAUCAGUCUUCUUUGAGUGAACAAAGGAGCAAAGGAGAGGACACAAGAAUUUAUGGAGAAAUAUUGGGCCCACUCCUUGGUAUUUUGGCAAUGAAAUUAGAUCCAGCUUCAGAAUUAAAAGGGAAGAUGGAGAUGUCCUGUCAGAUACAAGAAUAUGAGUUUCUUGUGGAGAAACUCAAGAAUUAAGAGAGGAAAAGUUGAGGGCAAAAGAAGAAGCCGAGGACUGGGUUCAGGAAAUGGCAGAGCUUAGAUACCAACUUACAGGUCAGCUAGAAGAAGAAUGUAAGCGCCGUGCCUGCAUCGAACAUGCGUCCUUGCAAAGAAUUGCCGAGUUAGAGGCUCAGGUAUGAAUUUAGAAGCUAAAAUUUCUCCUUUUUCCUCUUAUUCAUUUGAGGCCAUUCAAAGUUGUAACUUUUUUUUUUUUUCAAGCUUCAAAGAAAGCAUAAACACCCAUAACUGCUGUCAGAUAUCUCCUUGAAACAUAGAGGCUGGCAUUUUUCUAAUUCUUUCCGGACCGGCUUUAAAGAAUGGACCUUCAAGCUUUCCUGAGUAGGAACCAGAAGACGAAUAUUUUUGAUGCCUAAUUCAACGGAGAGAAAAAAACAACAGAAGUUUGUAAUGAUGACAAGAACAUAGUAUAGAAUGACAAUGCAAUGAGGGAUUGUAGUUUAGAAAAGCAUCCGUGGCAAGAAAACUGAUAUAAAUCGACUGUAUUUUUUCUCAAGAAAAAUUGAAAUCUAGGAUUUCUUCUAGUGCCUUGGUGCCAGCUUUUACUGAAGUGAAUAAGUCAAAAGAUUCAAAAGAAGCAAACUACAUGAAACUCCAUUGUAUGACACCAAUCCCACCUUUGACCAUCACCGCUUUUGUAUGACUCCAUUGCUGUUGUUGUUGUUGUUGUUGUUGUUGUUGUUGUUGUUGUUGUUUGAUGCCUUCAUUCAUCUCCAGGGCUACAAGGCUACAAUAUAUACUCCCUCCGAUCUUAAAUAUAAGAUAAAGUUUAUUUUUUAAUUUCAGUAUUAUUAGUUGUUACGUAUUAUUUUUUUUAAGUUUGUUUUAAUUUUGUGUCAAAAAGUUUUGUUUUAAUGUAAGUAUUAUUGUUAUUAUCUUUUUUCAAGUUUUUUUAUUAUCUUUAGUAAAUUUAGUCUAAUUAUGAUUCCGAUUGUAAGUCUAUUUAAAGACAAUCAUAUUUGAAAUAAAAGGGAAUUAUCAUUUAUCAUAA